UACGAGGGAGGCGAGCGUUGUUCGGAAUUAUUGGGCGUAAAGGGUGCGUAGGCGGUUUGGUAAGUCUGAUGUGAAAUCUAUGGGCUCAACUCAUAGUCUGCAUCGGAAACUGCCGGGCUUGAGUGUGGGGAGAGGUGAGUGGAAUUCCUGGUGUAGCGGUGAAAUGCGUAGAUAUCAGGAGGAACACCUGUGGCGAAGGCGCUAUCUGGGCUGCAACUGACGCUGAGGCGCGAGGCUAGGGUAGCAAACAGG
rnacentral:rRNA from 1 species